rnacentral:rRNA from 1 species
AAGGUGCACUUGGAUAU